AGGGCCGCGGUCAGUCAGUGCAUCGUGAUCGGAGAGCAAAAUAGAGGGGUGGUCGAGGGUAACCCUUCAAGAUUCUUUUCUUUUUUCCCUUCAAGAUUCUAUACAGAGUGAGAUGGGUCCUGACACCUGGAAAGGAGCCCACCAACUUCCCAUUCCUUCCAUCCAAAGAAAGGAAGGCCAAGUACCAGUGACCCUAAAACUAAUUUGUUACAUUCUGCAGUCUGAGAGCUCCUGAGGGCUCCCACAGGAGCAUCUGUCUGGAGUAAAUGGAAGGACCUACAGACAAUCUGAGAUCACUUCUGGAGACACAGACCUAAUCCCAGAAAAAAAGCAUUUUAAUCUUAGCAGCAGCACCUACCAUUCUACAAUCUUCCCAAACGUCCAGAGAGGUAGGACUGACAUGAAAACAGCUGGAAGUAUUUUCUGUGUACAACUUGAUGGAUUUGGAGGUUGGAUUCUUCCUCACAGAAAGAGGCGUGGAAGACAGGGCAGGACUCAGCCUACACAGUAGCAGUCUUCUAAACUGGAACCAUGAGUCUACUCACAGCUUCCUGAGCCCCAAGAACAUCAUUUCUGGCACAAACCCCAUGACAGUGAGCCAGUAGAA